UAGUCUUGUUCAAUUUAAUUUAGUUUUAUCUCAUAUGAAGAUCUAUCUCUGGUAAGGAAAAUAUUAAGACUGCAAAUGAUCCAGAAAGCCAAAGACAUGACUUAGAAUCACAUCAAGAAGAGUAAACAGAGUCAUCUGGUUGCACUGAAAAUAAUCCCAUACCCUGAAAAGUAUCAACCAAUUACUCACAAAAUCCACUGUGAAGAAUAGAUUAUGUGCAAUGGAAGCUCUCCCAGCACAAGAGACAAAUGAGUCAACUUUUGACAGGAGUCAAGUCUGGCAAGCCGUGGCAGUCUCUGCAUCAGAACCUUUGCCAAAGUUGAUUUCUUUACUUGGUGCCCAGCUAUGGUGGUGGAUGUGCUGCCAUUUCCAGUAUAAUGAUAAAUCCAGGCAGCAUUGGUGGCAAUCUGGGGUGAAGAAGCUCAGUCGGCAGCUUGCUUCCAGCUAGUCUUAGUAACAACAUGCCCUCACUGGGUACAUUCACAUAAGUAAUCCAGAUGAUUCAUUCAGUAGCAGCAGUUUGGUCCUACAGUUUGUAGCCCCAAAGAAGGAUGUCUUUAAUCUGCUACUAUGUAUUUUUCCAAAAGGCAAACUAAGCAUCUAGGCCCUUGGUAAUGGCCCAAACCCCAUCUUCAGAAGGGAGUGAAGAAAAUAGAAAGUGCCAUUUGGUGGCUGACUCUAAUCCCGGCUUGCUCUGCUCAGUCUCUACACAGCUUUUAACAGAAAGUCACAUCUUUGUUCGGCAUCCCAUUCUCAAUACCAUAACUACCAGGAGCUAUACAGUUUCAAAGGGCUUAUCCUUCUUAACAAGCUCUUAUUUAUCCUGCCAGUUUCAUGAAUGCUGACAGAAGACUUCUGAGUCAAAGACAAUGGACUUUGUUAUUAUUUAUGGCAAAAGCCCCACUGAGUCAAUGAUUUUCUCCAAGGGAAGGCGGGUGAGAGUUUGUCAGCCAUUUCUAUUGAUGAGGAUGUGAUAACACCACAACCAAAACCACACUCAAGGCUGCUGAGACUAAGGCUUUUUACUUGCUAACCAAUGGGAUAUCAUCUCUGUGGAGAAAGCUGUGGACAUCAGAGGGUAGUCGCAUCCAUGCCCAAUCCUGAUCCAUCCAUUGGUGACAAAUGGCAGUGGUAUGUAUAUCAGCGAUUCAUGGCUCAAUCAAAUGAACUUUUAAUUUUGUUGGCAACAAGGUCUUCAUAGCUGAGAUCGUCUAUUUCAUUUUUGGAUUCCUUGACUCAGCAUUCAAAGCCACACUUCUUUCUGGAUGGAGUCAUGAGAUUUACAUAUCCUUGGGUGACUUAUGCUUGGCUUGUGUAUCAGUGACCUACUUUGUGGAGUCCACUUCAAUCCAAGGCAUCUGCAGUCCAAUUACCAUGAUGACAUCUCACAAAUUCUUGCUAGGGGCCAGUAUAAAGGCUAUGGGAGUUUUCCAGGGCACCAGAGCUGACUGCAAGAAUUUAUACUUCCUUGGAUCAGUUUAUUUCCUAGAUCAGUUUUACCAGCAUGAUUACAGUUUAGAUAGUAAGAGCCUGAACAUCAGUCACUACCUAUGUAUGGUUUUCCACAAGACUUCAUAUGUCUCAGGGAAAUCUCCUCAAGAGAGUCAAAGAAACUACAAUAUAGCAGCCACUACCUAAAACUCUGAAAUCUUUUAUGUUGCUUUGGAAUGGAUGUAAGAUGCACACUGUAUGCUGCAGUAGUUGUUGGCCAGAAGACAGGUCAGCUUUGUCAUCCUUCCCUAAUAGGAAGUACAAAGUCUGCGCCCUCACCUCCCAAGAAAACCAGCCAAAGGUCUAAUGAAUCACUUGGUUUCUGUCCAGAGCAGUCAUGAACUUCCAUCCUGUCAUCUCUGGUGUAGGUAUGCAUCUCUGUAACUGCUUCUAGAGAGCAGAAUCUUUUGCCCACUUAGGAUAAAUCAUACUGUUGUUAAAAUGGCACAGAUGGAGGAUGAUCAUCAGAUUGGCAAGGGAAUUUCCCUAUCUAGAAGUUUGUAACAACCAAGGCACUGUUCUGAAGCUGCUGUUUUUGAACCUGCUUCCCUACACUUGGCUUGCAAUCACCUGAUAGGUGGAAUAGAGAGAGAUGAUUCUCCUUCAUUAAUAUGCAAUAAAGUAGAAGACUGCUUAUUGCCUGACUUAUCAUGCAAUUUGCUCAGCAUGUUUACUACCAAUUCCCAAGGGUUUUCCUCAAAUCUAACCCAUCAGACCACAAGGUUCUUGUCAUUCAUCUUUCUGAAAGUCAUUUCUGUCAGUGUUCCAUAUUGUGCCCAAAGCUAUCAAGAACAUAGCCUACUUGUAAGCUAACAAGUUAGCCUGAGUAGUAGCCUGGAUGCUAAUAGAAGACGAGCACCUCCUGAGUCAAAGGACAGUUUAUAAAUGAGAGUAAUUGCAGCAGUUACAGUAUAAACAUUUCUGUAUCAGCUUCUCAAUACCUAAAUCCCACAAGGUAAG